UAAGUCAUGCGAGGCAGUUUUAUCUCAAACUUUUGGAAGUAAAGAGUUAAAAUAUAAUCAUGAAAUUCACGGUUGUUCUUUUGUUGGUCGCUAUGGUUACCAUCACCAUGGCCAAGCCUCAAGGUGUUAACGUCGUUGACGGACAACACCAAAUUGACUUCGUAAAUGGAGAGAGCCAAGUAAACUUCGUCAACGGUGAGGAACAAGUGAACGUCGUCGAUGGUCCGUCAGGAGGUCAAGCACGGGACGGGUCGAAGUAAUUAGUAAAACCUAGUAUAAGUUUAAUUAGAAUAAGCAAAAUUUCAAAUAAAUAAUUCAAUACCACAAACUCUACAGUAUAAUUCAAUUCAAAUAACACAAACAAUCUUGUAAGAUCUAAUGACAAUAUAAACAUAUUCAAUACACUA